GGCUAACACAUGCAAGUCGAGCGGUAGCACAGAGAGCUUGCUCUCGGGUGACGAGCGGCGGACGGGUGAGUAAUGUCUGGGAAACUGCCUGAUGGAGGGGGAUAACUACUGGAAACGGUAGCUAAUACCGCAUAAUGUCGCAAGACCAAAGUGGGGGACCUUCGGGCCUCAUGCCAUCAGAUGUGCCCAGAUGGGAUUAGCUAGUAGGUGGGGUAACGGCUCACCUAGGCGACGAUCCCUAGCUGGUCUGAGAGGAUGACCAGCCACACUGGAACUGAGACACGGUCCAGACUCCUACGGGAGGCAGCAGUGGGGAAUAUUGCACAAUGGGCGCAAGCCUGAUGCAGCCAUGCCGCGUGUGUGAAGAAGGCCUUCGGGUUGUAAAGCACUUUCAGCGGGGAGGAAGGCGUUAAGGUUAAUAACCUUGGCGAUUGACGUUACCCGCAGAAGAAGCACCGGCUAACUCCGUGCCAGCAGCCGCGGUAAUACGGAGGGUGCAAGCGUUAAUCGGAAUUACUGGGCGUAAAGCGCACGCAGGCGGUCUGUCAAGUCGGAUGUGAAAUCCCCGGGCUCAACCUGGGAACUGCAUUCGAAACUGGCAGGCUAGAGUCUUGUAGAGGGGGGUAGAAUUCCAGGUGUAGCGGUGAAAUGCGUAGAGAUCUGGAGGAAUACCGGUGGCGAAGGCGGCCCCCUGGACAAAGACUGACGCUCAGGUGCGAAAGCGUGGGGAGCAAACCGGGAUUAGAUACCCUGGUAGUCCACGCCGUAAACGAUGUCGAUUUGGAGGUUGUGCCCUUGAGGCGUGGCUUCCGGAGCUAACGCGUUAAAUCGACCGCCUGGGGAGUACGGCCGCAAGGUUAAAACUCAAAUGAAUUGACGGGGGCCCGCACAAGCGGUGGAGCAUGUGGUUUAAUUCGAUGCAACGCGAAGAACCUUACCUGGUCUUGACAUCCACAGAACUUUCCAGAGAUGGAUUGGUGCCUUCGGGAACUGUGAGACAGGUGCUGCAUGGCUGUCGUCAGCUCGUGUUGUGAAAUGUUGGGUUAAGUCCCGCAACGAGCGCAACCCUUAUCCUUUGUUGCCAGCGGUUAGGCCGGGAACUCAAAGGAGACUGCCAGUGAUAAACUGGAGGAAGGUGGGGAUGACGUCAAGUCAUCAUGGCCCUUACGACCAGGGCUACACACGUGCUACAAUGGCAUAUACAAAGAGAAGCGACCUCGCGAGAGCAAGCGGACCUCAUAAAGUAUGUCGUAGUCCGGAUUGGAGUCUGCAACUCGACUCCAUGAAGUCGGAAUCGCUAGUAAUCGUAGAUCAGAAUGCUACGGUGAAUACGUUCCCGGGCCUUGUACACACCGCCCGUCACACCAUGGGAGUGGGUUGCAAAAGAAGUAGGUAGCUUAACCUUCGGGAGGGCGCUUACCACUUG
rnacentral:rRNA from 1 species